rnacentral:rRNA from 1 species
CCAUUACAAGGAAGGCGCAGGCGCGCAAUUACCCAAUCCUGACUCAGGGAGGUAGUGACAAGAAAUAACAAUAAACCGGCUUAUGCCGGUUUAAUUGGAAUGAGUACAAUUUAAACAUCUUAACGAGGAACAAUUGGAGGGCAAGUCUGGUGCCAGCAGCCGCGGUAAUUCCAGCUCCAAUAGCGUAUACUAAAGUUGUUGCAGUUAAAAAGCUCGUAGUUGGAUUUCUGUGGGGACGGAGCGGCCGGCCGCACAUCGCGGUUCGAGCUAGCGCUUUCCCUACAUCCUGCCGCGAACCGUGCUACCAUUAGUUUGGUGGCGCCGGGGAUCGGCUCGAUUACUUUGAGAAAAAUAGAGUGUUCAAAGCAGGCCACAUGCCUUGAAUAAGUUAGCAUGGAAUAAUAACUAAGGACUUCGGUUCUAUUUUGUUGGUGUUCGGGACUGAAGUAAUGAUUGAUAGGGACAGUUGGGGCGGUCUGUAUUCCAAAGCGAGAGGUGAAAUUCUUAGACCUUCGGAAGACAAACAGCUGCGAAAGCGUUCCGCAAGGAUGUUCCCUUUGAUCAAGAACGAAAGUUGGGGGAUCGAAGACGAUCAGAUACCGUCGUAGUCUCAACUAUAAACUAUACCAGCUAGGGAUCGGCCAACGUUAUUUUAUACCGACUUGGUCGGCACCUUAUGAGAAAUCAAAGCAUCUGGGUUCCGGGGGGAGUAUGGUCGCAAGGCUGAAACUUAAAGGAAUUGACGGAAGGGCACCACCAGCCGUGGAGCCUGUGGCUUAAUUUGACUCAACACGGGAAAACUUACCAGGUCCAGACAUAGUAAGGAUUGACAGAUUGAUAGCUCUUUCUUGAUUCUGUGGGUGGUGGUGCAUGGCCGUUCUUAGUUGGUGGAGUGAUUUGUCUGGUUAAUUCCGUUAACGAACGAGACCCCAGCCUGCUAAAUAGCGCGCGUGAGCUUUGCUCGCGGCGAGCUUCUUAGAGGGACUAUGAUGCGCGAUAGCACAUGGAAGUUUGGGGCAAUAACAGGUCUGUGAUGCCCUUAGAUGUUCUGGGCCGCACACGGGCUACACUGGCGCCUGCAACGAGCAUAUCAGCUGGCCCGAGAGGGUCUUGGCUAAUCUUUUGAACCGGCGCCGUGCUUGGGAUUGACCUUUGCAAUUGUUGGUCAUGCAACGAGGAAUGCCUUGUAAACGCGAGUCAUCAGCUCGCAUUGAAUACGUCCCUGCCCUUUGUACACACCGCCCGUCGCUCCUACCGAUGAAUGUUCCGAUGAAAUUUUCGGAGAGCACCUGUGAACUUGGCUCUGCCUUGCGAACGGGAGGCUCAAAGUCACAUAAAUCUGAACCUUGAGG